CAGAUGAGGAAACGUUCGCACUUCAGUCAGAAUUGGAGGCUGUGGAGAAGCAGAUCCAGGAUCUACUAGAGAAGCAGACACGGCUGCGAGAACGUAAAACGGCGCUGGAAACAUCCAGAGCUGACGCUCGCAAAUCCACGGUAAGUUUUCAUCGCGAUUUUAAUACUCCUUCCACUUCUACUCCGCGUGUUUCUCUGCACAGAGCCCAGGCUUCGAGAACACGAUCAGCCCAAAUGAACUUCACUCCUGCACCGGCACACCCACGGCGAAAGGCGCGAGCCAGGACUGGAGCGAUGACCUAACCGCCGCCACCGGUCUUCGAGAUCCCGAACAGAAACCGCUUUGCCGCCCUCUGCGAGACGGAAUGCAACGCUGUGGUCAUCGGAGACUCAAUCGUCCGGAACGUACGCACUUCCUCCACUAAAGGACUAUGCUAACGUCGGAGCUGUCGUGCUGCACGCGGGGGUGAAUGACGUCAGGAUGCGGUAGUCGGUGAUCCUGUAGAGGGACUUCAGGAGUCUGAUCGAGACGGUUCGCAACGCAUCGCCCACGGCGAGGAUCAUCGUAUCAGGGCCGCUUCCUACCUACCGACGAGGGAAUGAAAAGUUCUGUAGACUAUUUUCUCUAAAUAAAUGGUUGAUGUCAUGGUGUAUUGAACAGAAGCUGCUCUUUGUUUAUAAUUUUGAUCUGUUCUGGGAGCGACCUAGGCUCUUCCGCCCUGACGGCCUGCACCCCAGCAGCAUCGGAGCGGUUCUUCUGUCUGACAACAUCUCAAAGACGCUACGCACCGUUUGACUACGUCUCCCAGCGCUACGCUAAUUAUUCUCUUUCAGCCCUCACCUCGGGAUGCCCAUCCCGAGGUAGGGAGAGAUUCCGCCAGGCCCAGAAGAACGUCAUAUGCCCAUCCACAACUAGAGAUUACGCCAGCUACAUCGGAAAAUCCCGUGCCAUCCUCCUGCGAGAGCCUGCGGACUGACUGACCAUCCCAGCUCCAUCCAAGGCAAUUCCAUCACCACCCAAGAGAAAAGUGACCAUCUGGCCGGCCCAGCUCAGACAAUUCCAUCCCCAACCAAGAGCAAAGAUGGACUACUUGUCACAUUAAUGCUAAAUUUACAAUACUUGGUAUUUAAUGCUAAACUUACAUCACACGACAGCAGUUUGAAGUUAUAGCUGCACUCAGUGACUUUGAUUGGAGGUUGCUGGGUGGGUGUUUGUGGGGAGUGGGGGGGCUUGUUGGUUGUGGUUUGGGGCGUUUCAUUUGUUGGGACUGUGUGGGUCUGGUCUGGUUUGGUCUUGUUUUGUGGUCGAUGUCGGACAACAGAGGAAUAAAGUUAAUUAUGCCAUUACUACUUUUCCCUGGUUGUUCCUCUGUUGUCUGUUGUUGAUGGCGGAAUGGGACCGGGUUGGACCUGCGCGGUUUCGGUGGGUGGGGCUUCCUGGGUCGCGGCUCGUGGGCUCUCCGUGUUCUUCGUUGACGUUUGCUCGGUGGCUUUGGUCGGGUUCACUGAGUGCAGCUAUGACACGUCAGAGGAGAUCUGGUCCUCCCGGCUGAGCCUGGUUUCUCCCGAGGUUUUUUUUUCUCCAUUUAUUCAUCAUUGGAGUUUGGGUUCCUCGCCACAGCAGUGCAGUGUUGGCUUGCUCACCGGGAGACUGCAUUUAUUUAUUUAUUAGAUAUGAUUUAUUAUUUAUUAUAAUGAUCUUGCUUGGUCUAUAAACACCAUGCACUGUGCUGUGUUUUACCUUUCUGUGUUUUUCUUAUUUGCUCCUGUAAAGCUGCUUUGGAACAAUGCACAUUGUGAAAAGCGCUAUAUAAAU